CAACAGUGUAAAUAUGUUUAUUUUUUCUCUAUAUCCUCUCUAGGAUUUAUUAUUGUUUGUAGUCUUGAUGACUACCAUUCCAACUGGUGUGCAAUGAAAUCUUGGUGAAAUUUUUUGGUUUCCCUUUUUCCUUUUUUUUUAUUAGAACUUUAUGGUUGUAAAUAGUAGUUGGAUUCAUCCUGAUGAACUUACACAUGCAUGGAAUUCAAUUUCAGAUCAUGACCCCUCUUUUAUCUCCCAUCAUCCUGCCCCCUCCCAUUCUCCAUCCUCAGUAGAGUUGAUUUGCAUUUCCCUAAUUGCUAAUGAUGUCGAACAUUUUUUCACAUGUUUAUUGGUCAUUUUUGUUUCUUCUUUUGAGAAAUGCCUCUUUGAUUCAUUUGCCCAUUUAUUAAUUGAGUUAUUUGAUUUUGGGGUGUUAAGAUUUUGAGUUCUUUAUACAUUCUAGAUAUUAAUCCUCUGUCAGAAAUCUGCUAGGGUAGCUAGCAUUUUUUCACAUUUUGUAGGUUCUCUCUUCACUUUCUUCAUUAUUUCAUUUGGUGUGCAGAAGCUUUUUAGUUUAAUGCCAUUCCAUUUAUUUACUCUAUUAUUUCCUGAGCUUUAGAGGUCCUAUUGAGAAAGUCAUUGUGCCAAAAAAUUGGAGUGUUUACCCUAUGUUUUCUUUGAGGAGUUGCAUAAUUUCUGGUCUAAUUCUUAGGGCUUUAAUUGAUUCUUAGUUGAUUUUUGUGCAGGGUGAGAGAUAAAGGUCUUAUUUUACUCUUCUACAUAUGGAUAACCAUUUGUUUAAAAAUUCCAUCUUUUCUCCAGGGUAUGUUCUGUUGCCUUUGUCAAGGAUCAGAUAGAUGUCUGCAGAUGUGUGGGUUUGUCUCUGUCUUUUUUCUGUACCAUUGGUGAAAACCACUUAUUAGUAGUAGCAAGUGUGGGAAUGUGGUAAAUAAUAUCAUGGGGAUGAAAACAAAGUAUCCCCCGACUAUCUCUGUUGUAUCCCCAGGACUUGGGCUCCCCCAGAUAAACAUGAAACCCAAGUGGAAAUGUUGUACCUGCUGAAAGUGCAACCUUACCAGCCAGGGCCUACCCCAGCAGGCUGCACACACCAAGCUCAGUGCUUCCAGAGAGAGCUGAUGGAAGCUGUGUUAGGACCUUGCACAUUCUUAUGUUCUAGACGUGUUUUCCAAAUGUGUGGACAGUCUCAAAGAUGUAAUUUUAUGGUAUGUUUCAUACACUGAUGUUGUGAAGCAAUCCUUUCUGCUCAGUUUCUAGUGUAUCUAAUGGUAACAGAUGAGUUGUCUGCCAUCAGAAUCUACUUAAAACCAUAUUAAAACAUUGAUACCUGGGAAUUUUACAUUGUCCAUUUUUCUCUGAACUGUAUUUCCAGUCCAUUUUUCCCACUCUAGAUUAUGCCUUUGGGUGAUGUCCUUUUGUCUAGCAGACUUUUCAUUUGAGUCAAAUUGCAAGAUCAGUUGCAGUGUUUGUUCACAUACACAAUUUUUGUUAUUAAAAAGCUCAUUCUAUUCAGUGAACCAAAAAUUGCUGCUGUUUAUCACAAAAACUCCUGUUUAAUGAUCUUUCUGGUGAUAACUCAAUCUCAAUCAAGUCUUUGUUGAAUUUUUUAAGAACAAAAUAAUCAGAAACUACCUAACUUACAAAAGAAUUCAUUAUCCUCUUGUUAGAGCCAUUUAUAUUCUUUCAGGUUUUUGGAAUGUAUAUGAAAAAGGCAUUAUUAGUGCUAAAAAUAUUUUAAAAAU
rnacentral:lncRNA from 1 species